GCUACCGAUCGAGGAGUGUGUGAAAAGCUUGGAUCAUCGGAGUGACUAAAUCUAGUCAUCAACUUCGGUAAAGGAGAAAUCGCAUAGGAGAUCUCGUCAAGGAAUAUCGCAAAUCAGGUGAGCCUUGAUGUGGGGACUUGGGCCGGAGGGGAUUUAGAGUGGCCACGGUGAUCGUCUUUGGGCUUUUAAAUAAGCGUUGGUUUUCAUUAAAUUUCCUUUAUUAUUUAUUUUUGGUUUGUAAUAAGGCCAUUUUU